rnacentral:rRNA from 1 species
AUUGAACGCUGGCGGCAGGCCUAACACAUGCAAGUCGAGCGAGCGGCGGACGGGUGAGUAAUGUCUGGGAAACUGCCUGAUGGAGGGGGAUAACUACUGGAAACGGUAGCUAAUACCGCAUACCAUCAGAUGUGCCCAGAUGGGAUUAGCUAGUAGGUGGGGUAACGGCUCACCAAGGCGACGAUCCCUAGCUGGGUGGAGAGGAUGACCAGCCACACUGGAACGGAGAAACGGUCAAGACUCCUACGGGAGGCAGCAGUGGGGAAUAUUGCACAAUGGGCGCAAGCCUGAUACAGCCAUGCCGCGUGUGUGAAGAAGGCCUGCGGGUUGUAAAGGACGUUCAGCGGGGAGGCGUGACCCGCAGAAGAAGAACCGGCUAACUCCGUGCCAGCAGCCGCGGUAAUAC